CGGUAUAUUGACCGUGCGAAGGUAGCAUAAUAAUUAGUCUUUUAAUUGGGGACUGGUAUGAAAGGUUGAACAAGAAGUCAGCUGUCUCUAAAUUAAAUCUUGAACUUAACAUUUAAGUGAAAAGGCUUAAAUAUUUUAGGGGGACGAUAAGACCCUAUAAAUCUUUAUACUCGGCUUUAUUGAGCAAAAUACUAGAAUAAUUUUUGUUCGAUAGGUUUGAGUAUUUUGUUGGGGCGACAGGAGUAUAAAAUGUAACUGCUUUAAAAUAAUAGUUAAUUGAUGUUUAGUUAAGCGAUCCUUUAAUAAAGAUGUUAGUUUAAGUUACUUUAGGGAUAACAGCGUAAUUUUUUUUGAGAGUUCAUAUCGAAAAAAAAGUUUGCGACCUCGAUGUUGAAUUAAAGAUCCUUUAUGGUGCAGAAG
rnacentral:rRNA from 1 species